AUUAAAGCUAGGGUAGGUAAUCCUGUUCAGAUACAUUUUUUUUAAUACUGGGUGAAAUGGUCCUUCUAUCCUGAGAGUAGUCAAUACAUUAUGUGGUCAGAAAAAGGAAUGAAAACAAUCAGACCUCUGUAGCAGCUGCAGGACAGUAAAAACUCCGACUAAUCACUGCCAUGCGGUGCGAAUGUAAAGAACCAAUCAGAUGCCUUCAUGUCUCGUGCCCGACCCCCACUGCGCGCGCUGCCCUGCGUGCACUAAUCACGUCACUGUUCCCUGAAAUAUUCAGUCUCACUACACCGAGUAAGCAGGAGUUUGCGGCACCGGCACAAUGGAAGAUAAAAAGCAGCCAAAACUACCACUGCCAGCUUUGCUGGUAACUGCUCGCCCUAAUAAAAAAACCUAGAAAAAGAAAAUCUGAGGCAGAAAAGGCUGCAACUAAACAGGUACUGGAUAAAGCCAGAGGACAAACUCGCGUAAACAUCGGUGGAGCAUUUGAACGGUGGAGACAACUGAGGGAGCUGAAGGGCCUGAAAAGCGAUGCCGAGGUUGCGGUCUUUCUGCUGAACAGGUAAAUCACUGCCAAAGGAGUAGAUCACCACAGAAGACAACGCAUCAUGCAAAGCCUGACCUGUCAGCCAUCCAUGGACACUCAUUUUCUAACAUAUAUAUAUUUCAAAUUUAUUAUAUGUAAAUACAGAUUGUUUAUGACAAUCAAAAGCAACAAAAGGACAGAUAGUUGUUUAAAAAAGUAUUCCUCUUAGGUCUCUCUUGUUGUUGUUGGUGUUGUUUUUUUAAUAAAACAAAAAGUGUUAUACCA